GUGCCAGCCACCGCGGUAACACCGGCAGCUCAAGUGAUGGCCGAUUUUAUUGGGCCUAAAGCGUCCGUAGCUGGCUGCGCAAGUCCGUCGGGAAAUCCACUCGCCCAACGAGUGGGCGUCCGACGGAAACUGCACAGCUUGGGGCCGGAAGGCUCGAAGGGUACGUUCGGGGUAGGAGUGAAAUCCCAUAAUCCUGGACGGACCGCCGGUGGCGAAAGCGCCUCGGGAAGACGGACCCGACAGUGAGGGACGAAAGCCAGGGUCUCGAACCGGAUUAGAAACCCGAGUAGUCC
rnacentral:rRNA from 1 species